rnacentral:rRNA from 1 species
UACGGGGGGAGCAAGCGUUGUUCGGAUUUACUGGGCGUAAAGGGCGCGUAGGCGGCCUCUGCAAGUCAGUUGUGAAAUCUCCGGGCUUAACUCGGAAAGGUCAACUGAUACUGCAGGGCUAGAGUGCGGAAGGGGCAACUGGAAUUCUCGGUGUAGCGGUGAAAUGCGUAGAUAUCGAGAGGAACACCUGCGGCGAAGGCGGGUUGCUGGGCCGACACUGACGCUGAAGCGCGAAAGCCAGGGGAGCGAA